GACGUACGAGGCGAGCGUUAUCCGGAAUUACUGGGCGUAAAGCGCGCGCAGGUGGCUUCUUAAGUCGGACGUGAAAUCUCCCGGCCUAACUGGGAGGGGUCGUUCGAGACUGGGGAGCUUGAGGACUGCAGAGGUGGGUGGAAUUCCUGGUGUAGUGGUGAAAUGCGUAGAGAUCAGGAGGAACACCGGUGGCGAAGGCGGCCCACUGGGCAGUCACUGACGCUGAGGCGCGAAAGCUCGGGGAGCGAACGGG
rnacentral:rRNA from 1 species